rnacentral:rRNA from 1 species
GCUUGUCUCAAAGAUUAAGCCAUGCAUGUCUAAGUAUAAAUGAUAUACAGUAAAACUGCGAAUGGCUCAUUAAAACAGUUAUAGUUUAUUUGGUAAUCGAAUUUACAUGGAUAACCGUGGUAAUUCUAGAGCUAAUACAUGCAUUAAACCCCGACUUCUGGAAGGGGUGUAUUUAUUAGAUGGAAACCAAUGCGGGGUAACCCGGAAUAUGGUGAUUCAUAAUAACUUUCGGAUCGAUUUAUCGAUGCAUCAUUCAAGUUUCUGCCCUAUCAGCUUUGGAUGGUAGGGUAUUGGCCUACCAUGGCUUUAACGGGUAACGGAGAAUUAGGGUUCGAUUCCGGAGAGGGAGCCUGAGAAAUGGCUACCACAUCCAAGGAAGGCAGCAGG